rnacentral:lncRNA from 1 species
CCCACAAACGAACGCUGAGGUUUGAAACCUGGGCUUCCGACUUGCUGAGCAGCGCUCUCCACCGUAAUACGGCUGCCUGCGGAACCGGCUGACCGGAAGUGUGGCUGUGGGUGGUUUACCGCCAGACUGUGAUGGUGGCGAGGCACGGCUGCGUGACUGUCAACUCAGCUGUACUUCUCACCACGUGGCAAAGGAUGGACCAAAGGCUGGGAGCAACUGGGAGUGUCUGGAACACUUUCUGGUUGUCACAGUGAUCAGCAGCCAGGAGCAGCCUGCAAUGUGAAGACAGUCCUGUGGGACAGUCCUAGGCUACAAGGAACUGUCCUGGAUCCUGCAUGUCUUAUAAACAUCCUCCUGGACGUCGAUGUUUG